rnacentral:rRNA from 1 species
CAAUAGCGUAUACCAAAGUUGUUGCAGUUAAAACGCUCGUAGUCGGAAUUUGGCAGUUCCGGAUGUGUGCACGUCGUGUGCGCACUUCGCGGGGAUUGCUUUUGUGGUCUUGCGUAGGAUGAGGCACUUUUAUUAGUGAACGUCCUCACGCAACCACUUUUUACUGUGAGAAAAUCAGAGUGCUCAAAGCAGGCAUUUGCCGUGAAUGUAUUAGCAUGGAAUAAUAGAAUAGGACUUGGUUCUAUUUUGUUGGUUUGUUGGGACUGAGUAAUGAUUAAGAGGGACAGUUGGGGGCAUUUGUAUUUCGGUGCUAGAGGUGAAAUUCUUAGAUUACCGAAAGACAAACUGCUGCGAAAGCGUCUGCCAAGGAUGUUUUCAUUGA